rnacentral:rRNA from 1 species
GCAAGUCAUAUGUUCCUCGUGAACAUGGCAUACUGCUCAGUAACACGUGGAUAACCUGCCCUUGGGUCUGGGAUAACCCCGGGAAACUGGGGAUAAUAUCGGAUAACGCAUAUGUGCUGGAAUGCUUUAUGCGUAAAACGGAUUCGUCCGCCCAAGGAUGGGUCUGCGGCCUAUCAGGUAGUAGUGGGUGUAAUGUACCUACUAGCCAACAACGGGUACGGGUUGUGAGAGCAAGAGCCCGGAGAUGGAUUCUGAGACAUGAAUCCAGGCCCUACGGGGCGCAGCAGGCGCGAAAACUUUACAAUGCGGGAAACCGUGAUAAGGGAACACCUAGUGCCAGCAUCAUAUGCUGGCUGUCCAGAUGUGUAAACUACAUCUGUUAGCAAGGGCCGGGCAAGACCGGUGCCAGCCGCCGCGGUAACACCGGCGGCCCGAGUGGUGACCGUUAUUAUUGGGUCUAAAGGGUCCGUAGCCGGUUUGGUCAGUCCUCCGGGAAAUCUGAUAGCUUAACUGUUAGGCUUUCGGGGGAUACUGCCAGGCUUGGAACCGGGAGAGGUAAGAGGUACUACAGGGGUAGGAGUGAAAUCUUGUAAUCCCUGUGAGACCACCUGUGGCGAAGGCGUCUUACCAGAACGGGUUCGACGGUGAGGGACGAAAGCUGGGGGCACGAACCGGAUUAGAUACCCGGGUAGUCCCAGCCGUAAACUAUGCUCGCUAGGUGUCAGGCAUGGCGCGACCGUGUCUGGUGCCGCAGGGAAGCCGUGAAGCGAGCCACCUGGGAAGUACGGCCGCAAGGCUGAAACUUAAAGGAAUUGGCGGGGGAGCA